UACGGAGGGGGCGAGCGUUAUUCGGAAUUAUUGGGCGUAAAGGGCGCGUAGGCGGCCUGAUAAGUCAAAGGUGAAAUCCCUCGGCUCAACUGAGGAAUUGCCUUUGAAACUGUCAGGCUUGAGGCCGGGAGGGGGUGGCGGAAUUCCCAGUGUAGCGGUGAAAUGCGUAGAUAUUGGGAGGAACACCAGUGGCGAAGGCGGCCACCUGGACCGGUUCUGACGCUGAUGCGCGAAAGCGUGGGUAGCAAACAGG
rnacentral:rRNA from 1 species